UACGAAGGGGGCCAGCGUUGCUCGGAAUGACUGGGCGUAAAGGGCGCGUAGGCGGAUGGCACAGUCAGAUGUGAAAUUCCUGGGCUUAACCUGGGGGCUGCAUUUGAGACGUGUGAUCUGGAGUGAGGAAGAGGGUUGUGGAAUUCCCAGUGUAGAGGUGAAAUUCGUAGAUAUUGGGAAGAACACCGGUGGCGAAGGCGGCGACCUGGUCCUUAACUGACGCUGAGGCGCGAAAGCGUGGGGAGCAAACAGG
rnacentral:rRNA from 1 species